rnacentral:rRNA from 1 species
UAUUUAAAAAAUUAUUUUAGUUGAGUUUUUAAAAAUAAUUAUUUGUUUUAGUAUAAAUUUGAAAUAAUAGAUUUAAUUAUAGAUUAAUAGUACAGUGACGGAAUUUUAAAAAUUUUUAAAAGAAUACUUUAUUUGUGGUACCUUUUGUAUCAGGGUUUAUUAAAAGAGGGUUUUAUUUUAGAUUUUCUCGAAUUUACAAGAGCUAAGAUUAUAUAUAUUUUAAUGUUGAAAAAUUAUUUAGAAUAUUUUCUUUGCAAUUAGACGUUAGUCGAUUUUAAAUAUAUCUAGUUUUUUAAGAAAGUAAUUUAAUUACGCUGAUUUGAUGAGUAGUUUUUAUAAUAAAUUGAUUUUUGGAUUAAGUAAUGUCUAAGGGGAUAAGCUUUUAGACAGAUUAUUAUAAUUUAGGUUUAUUGAAAGUUGAAUAGGAAUAGAAGUUUUCAUUUUUUGUAGUGUUUUAUAUCAAGACUUUUGGUAGAGUAAUUUGUAUUAUUUUUAAUUUUUAUAUUAAAAUAUUGAAUAGAGUUUUUUAUUUCUAGUAAUAAUGAUAAAAUUAGUAUAUUUAUAUGUUUUUGAAAUUAGAAGGGGAAAGUUUUAAUUAAGUAAUUCGGCAAAUUUAUUUUCUGCCUGUUUAUUAAAAACAUGGCCUUUUGAGAAUAAUUUAAGGUCUGACCUGCCCAAUGAUUUAUUAAAUGGCCGCGGUACUCUGACCGUGCAAAGGUAGCAUAAUCAUUAGUUUUUUAAUUGAAAGCUGGAAUGAACGGUCGCACAAGAAAAUUACUGUCUCAGUUAAAUGAUAUUGGAAUUUUAUUUUUAAGUAAGAAAGCUUAAAUUUUUUUAAGGGACGAGAAGACCCUAUAGAAUUUUAUAAUUUUUUUUAGAUUAGAUUUUAGGGUUGAUUUUUUAGGUUUAAAAAAACUUAUUUUGUUGGGGUGAUGGAAAAAUUUGAUAAACUUUUUUUUAGUGAAUUCAUUAAUUUAUGAUUAAAUGAUCCGUUUAUUACGAUUAUAAGAUUAAAUUACCUUAGGGAUAACAGCGUAAUUAGUUUGGAGAGUUCUUAUCAAUAAACUAGUUUGCGACCUCGAUGUUGGAUUAAAAUAAACUUUUGGUGUAGGGGCUGGAAAGUUAAGUCUGUUCGACUUUUAAAAUUUUACAUGAUCUGAGUUUAAACCGGCGUGAGCCAGGUUGGUUUCUAUCUUUAGAAAGUUUUAAUAUUUUAGUACGAAAGGACCAAGUAUUAGUUUUAAUAAAUUGAUUUUAGAAUAUUAAU